rnacentral:rRNA from 1 species
UACGUAGGGUGCGAGCGUUAUUCGGAAUUACUGGGCGUAAAGUGUGCGCAGGUGGCCGCGCAAGUCGAGUGUGAAAUCCCCGAGCUUAACUUGGGAAUUGCGCUCGAAACUACGUGGCUCGAGUGUGGCAGAGGAAGGUGGAAUUCCACGUGUAGCGGUGAAAUGCGUAGAGAUGUGGAGGAACACCGAUGGCGAAGGCAGCCUUCUGGGCCAACACUGACGCUCAUGCACGAAAGCGUGGGGAGCAAACAGG